CAACAAAAUCAAGCAACACCCCUUGGUUUUCCAGAUUUUUUUACGGAAGGCAAUAGCAGGCAGAUCAGAGAGCUCAGACAGGAGAAAGAAAAGGCGGUGUGAGGCAGAGCGGAGACAAAAUGUGCAAUUGACACCAGUGCGGACGUCGAUUUCAUAGCGUAAAGCCGUCCAUUCAGCCUGACUUGGGGGACUUCAGACCAAAGCAGUAGCCAGCCUCACAAAGGUCUUCGCACUUGAUGCAAGGUAGUCGCUGAAGAUAACUCCAUCCCCCGCCCCAAUUUACCCACGUCGCCUCACAGAGAAUGACCUCAGGACAGAUCGCCGACAAGAAAAAAUAUCCAGAAUACUUUUUGGUGGCAUUGUCAUGGUCAAGUAAGAAAUGGCUUCAGCUACCACAGCUGUUUGUGUAGUAUAAGCUGAAGCUCUUUCUCGCCAUUAAGUGUUUUCUUUCUUCUUUUGCAGUAUGAAAUAUAAAAUUUUUUUGGACUCGCUGGUGGAAAUUUUGCCGU